AUGUGGAUCUUGCAUCACUUGGAAACACAGAAGAUCAACAACCAAAUAGGAAAAGUUUGGCAAACAACAUUCACGAUAAAUGAUUCAGGAACAAUAAAACUGGAUCCUGCUGAAAUGAGAAGGGUUACCAGAUGUGAAGUGGAGAAUGAAGAACACCUGUGCCACGGAGAAGGCACUGAAAAACCGGGAUCACCCCUUAUCCUUCUCUACAGCAAUAGUGUGUCACCUCUGAAACCCCUGGGCACACCACCGCAGGGUCUGUAUCUGCACAAGAUUUUCUGA
rnacentral:lncRNA from 1 species